rnacentral:rRNA from 1 species
GAUGAACGCUGGCGGCGUGCCUAAUACAUGCAAGUCGAGCGGACGGACGGGAAGUUUGCUUCUCUGAUGUUAGCGGCGGGCGGGUGAGUAACACGUGGAAAACCUCCCUUUAAGACUGGUAUAACUUGGGGAAACCGGCGCUAACCCCGGAUAAUAUUUUGAACCGCAUGGUUCAAGAGUGAAAGACGGGCUUGCUGUCACUUAUAGAUGGAUCCGCGCUGCAGUAGCUAGUUGGUAAGGUAACGGCUUACCGAGGCGACGAUGCAUAGCCGGCCUGAGAGGGGGAGCCGCCCCACGGGGACGGAGACACGGUCCAGAAUCCUGCGGGAGGCAGCAGUAGGGCAGCUGGCACAAUGGGCGAAUACUUGACAGAGCGACGCCGCCUGAGUGAGGAAGGUCUUCGGGUCGUAAAACGCUGUUAUUAGGGAAGAACAUAUGUGUAAGUAACUGUGCACAUCUUGACGGUACCUAAUCAGAAAGCCACGGCUAACUACGUG